AUCUUACGGUCUAUCCGCAGCGGUUGUGAAACUACUAUUGAACCACUACGACGAUAAUUGGCAUUAAACCAUAUCUUGCUGUCUAUCCACAGAGGCUGUGAAACUACUAUGAAACCAUAGGAUUUGAGGAUUUCACGGCGAUAUCUGGCAGGCGGUUGUAAAUGUCUCCCAGGAUCAAUAAGUCGUAACCUAACCUUAUUUUUUGGUGGGAGAUGAAGCAUUUGGGCUACACAAACACCUACUUCGUCCGUGUGGUGGACAUAACUUGACAGUAAAACAAAAAGUUUUCAAUUAUCGUCCAUCUAGAGCCCGAAGGCACAUAGAAUGCUCGUUUGGAAUAUUAAGUAAUAAAUGGAGGAUCUUUCAUCGAGCUAUAAACUUGCAACCUGAUUUUGCUGUAGACAUUGUCAAGGCUUGUGUUGAUAUAAUAACUUGACAUAAGUUAGAUCCACAUCUCCAAUAUGUUCACUGUUAUUAAUAGUUCUAUUUAGUCUAAGCCUUUGUAACUUAAGUAAGUUUUAAGAUAUGGAAGAUAAGAAUAGGUCUAAUGAGUCAUCAGGCAAGUGUGGCUCCUGCCAGGAAAAAGUCAGUAAAGGUAUAUUAUGUGACAACUGUAAUUGGUGGUUCCACUGGGAAUUUGCCAACACCACUGUUAAUAAUAUAGAUGUAGCUAUACGUAUAUUUAAUUGUAGAACAAUUCAUUUUACUGUAGAAAGUUUAGUUUUAACAAUGGUCAACAUAAUGAGAAAAAAAUUGUUAACAAAUUGCAACGAUUGUGUAAUAAAACUUUUUCAUUACAUUUCAAUUCAAACAAUUAUAAAAUAAAGAAUAAAACCUA